rnacentral:rRNA from 1 species
UUAAAUUGAAGAGUUUGAUCAUGGCUCAGAUUGAACGCUGGCGGCAGGCCUAACACAUGCAAGUCGAACGGUAACAGAAAGCAGCUUGCUGCUUUGCUGACGAGUGGCGGACGGGUGAGUAAUGUCUGGGAAACUGCCUGAUGGAGGGGGAUAACUACUGGAAACGGUAGCUAAUACCGCAUAACGUCGCAAGACCAAAGAGGGGGACCUUAGGGCCUCUUGCCAUCGGAUGUGCCCAGAUGGGAUUAGCUAGUAGGUGGGGUAAAGGCUCACCUAGGCGACGAUCCCUAGCUGGUCUGAGAGGAUGACCAGCCACACUGGAACUGAGACACGGUCCAGACUCCUACGGGAGGCAGCAGUGGGGAAUAUUGCACAAUGGGCGCAAGCCUGAUGCAGCCAUGCCGCGUGUAUGAAGAAGGCCUUCGGGUUGUAAAGUACUUUCAGCGGGGAGGAAGGGAGUAAAGUUAAUACCUUUGCUCAUUGACGUUACCCGCAGAAGAAGCACCGGCUAACUCCGUGCCAGCAGCCGCGGUAAUACGGAGGGUGCAAGCGUUAAUCGGAAUUACUGGGCGUAAAGCGCACGCAGGCGGUUUGUUAAGUCAGAUGUGAAAUCCCCGGGCUCAACCUGGGAACUGCAUCUGAUACUGGCAAGCUUGAGUCUCGUAGAGGGGGGUAGAAUUCCAGGUGUAGCGGUGAAAUGCGUAGAGAUCUGGAGGAAUACCGGUGGCGAAGGCGGCCCCCUGGACGAAGACUGACGCUCAGGUGCGAAAGCGUGGGGAGCAAACAGGAUUAGAUACCCUGGUAGUCCACGCCGUAAACGAUGUCGACUUGGAGGUUGUGCCCUUGAGGCGUGGCUUCCGGAGCUAACGCGUUAAGUCGACCGCCUGGGGAGUACGGCCGCAAGGUUAAAACUCAAAUGAAUUGACGGGGGCCCGCACAAGCGGUGGAGCAUGUGGUUUAAUUCGAUGCAACGCGAAGAACCUUACCUGGUCUUGACAUCCACGGAAGUUUUCAGAGAUGAGAAUGUGCCUUCGGGAACCGUGAGACAGGUGCUGCAUGGCUGUCGUCAGCUCGUGUUGUGAAAUGUUGGGUUAAGUCCCGCAACGAGCGCAACCCUUAUCCUUUGUUGCCAGCGGUCCGGCCGGGAACUCAAAGGAGACUGCCAGUGAUAAACUGGAGGAAGGUGGGGAUGACGUCAAGUCAUCAUGGCCCUUACGACCAGGGCUACACACGUGCUACAAUGGCGCAUACAAAGAGAAGCGACCUCGCGAGAGCAAGCGGACCUCAUAAAGUGCGUCGUAGUCCGGAUUGGAGUCUGCAACUCGACUCCAUGAAGUCGGAAUCGCUAGUAAUCGUGGAUCAGAAUGCCACGGUGAAUACGUUCCCGGGCCUUGUACACACCGCCCGUCACACCAUGGGAGUGGGUUGCAAAAGAAGUAGGUAGCUUAACCUUCGGGAGGGCGCUUACCACUUUGUGAUUCAUGACUGGGGUGAAGUCGUAACAAGGUAACCGUAGGGGAACCUGCGGUUGGAUCACCUCCUUACCUUAAAGAAGC